rnacentral:lncRNA from 1 species
GAUGAAUUCAGAUUAUAUUGAAGGGCACAUGGAGUAUAUCAUCCAGGAAAAUGAAAGUGCAGGUAUGAUCAGUACCACUAUGGUGCCCAUGAUUCCAGUGUCAAUCACCCCUCAAGUCAACAUGUAUGUAAAGUUUUCUAUAGAGUACUUUUCAAAAUUAUGAGCUUGUCAAUGAAAUUUAUUUUUGAUCUGAAAACAAUUGCUGCUUUUGUUUUAUAUAAAGAGUGGGGUCAGCGCUCAUCUACGCUCAUGUGGUCUUCAACUCUUCCACACCCAUCGCCAGUGACACCGCAGCAGUUAAUACUACGCACACACUUCUGUUGUCUUUGUCUGCAAACUUCUAUCAAACAAUUCAGGUGGAGAAUGUGACAUAUGAACGUAAGUCAAGAGCUACAAGAGCUACAGGCUGUCAGAACUUUUUUCUAGAUUUUAGCAUGCCAGAGAAAAGUGAAUCUGCAAACGACACAUAUAACCAAAUUCAGAAUACUAUUAAUAACAUGCUCAACACAGUCUUCAGUGAUUUUGGACAAAGUCUUUUGACUUUCCAAAGUGCAAACUUCAUGAUGAAUUCAGAUUAUAUUGAAGGGCACAUGGAGUAUCUCAUCCAUGAAAAUGAAAGUGCAGGUAUGAUCAGUACCACUACGGUGACCCUGUUUCCAGCUUUAAUCAAACCUCAAGUCAACAUAGUGGGGUCAGCUCUCAUCUACGCUUAUCUGGUCUUCAACUCUUCCACACCCAUCACCAGUGAGACCGCAGCAGUUAAUACUACACGCACACUUCUGUUGUCUUUGUCUGCAAACUUCUAUGAAACAAUUCAGGUGGAGAAUGUGACAUAUGAACGUAAGUCAAGAGCUACAAGCUGUCAGAACUUCUAG